UUCCGGNUGAUCUGCCGGAGGUUACUGCCCUCGAGGUUCGACUAAGCCAUGCGAGUCGAAUGCCGCAAGGCAUGGCGUACUGCUCAGUAACACGUGGACAACCUACCCUUAGGACUGGGAUAACCCCGGGAAACUGGGAAUAAUCCCCGAUAGUCCUCGAAGGCUGGAAUGCAUCGAGGGCGAAAGCUCCGGCGCCUAAGGAUGGGUCUGCGGCCUAUCAGGUAGUAGUGGGUGUAGCGUACCUACUAGCCUACGACGGGUACGGGUUGUGAGAGCAAGAGCCCGGAGAUGGAUUCUGAGACACGAAUCCAGGCCCUACGGGGUGCAGCAGGCGCGAAAACUUUACAAUGCUGGCAACAGCGAUAAGGGAACCUCGAGUGCCAGGUUACAAAUCUGGCUGUCGAGAUGCCUAAAAAGCAUUUCAUAGCAAGGGCCGGGCAAGACCGGUGCCAGCCGCCGCGGUAACACCGGCGGCUCGAGUGGUAACCGUUAUUAUUGGGUCUAAAGGGUCUGUAGCCGGCCGGAUAAGUCUCUUGGGAAAUCUGGCAGCUCAACUGUCAGGCUAUCAGGAGAUACUGUCUGGCUCGAGGCCGGG
rnacentral:rRNA from 1 species